rnacentral:rRNA from 1 species
CCUACGGGAGGCAGCAGUGGGGAAUCUUGCGCAAUGGGCGAAAGCCUGACGCAGCCAUGCCGCGUGAAUGAUGAAGGUCUUAGGAUUGUAAAAUUCUUUCAGUAGGGACGAUAAUGACGGUACCUACAGAAGAAGCCCCGGCUAACUUCGUGCCAGCAGCCGCGGUAAUACGAAGGGGGCUAGCGUUGCUCGGAAUUACUGGGCGUAAAGGGAGCGUAGGCGGGUUAUCAAGUUGGAGGUGAAAGCCCAGGGCUCAACCUUGGAAUUGCCUUCAAAACUGAUAGCCUAGAGUAUGAUAGAGGUAAGUGGAACUCCGAGUGUAGAGGUGAAAUUCGUAGAUAUUCGGAAGAACACCAGUGGCGAAGGCGACUUACUGGAUCAUGACUGACGCUGAGGCUCGAAAGCGUGGGGAGCAAACAGGAUUAGAUACCCUGGUAGCCCACGCUGUAAACGAUGAUUGCUAGUUGUCGGACGGCAUGCCGUUCGGUGACGCAGCUAACGCAUUAAGCAAUCCGCCUGGGGAUACGGUCGCAAGAUUAAAACNCAAAUGAAUUGACGG